rnacentral:rRNA from 1 species
UACGGGGGGGGCAAGCGUUGUUCGGAAUUACUGGGCGUAAAGGGCUUGUAGGCGGCCAACUAAGUCCGACGUGAAAUCCCAAGGCUUAACCUUGGAACUGCGUCGGAUACUGGAUGGCUUGAAUUCGGGAGAGGGAUGCAGAAUUCCAGGUGUAGCGGUGAAAUGCGUAGAUAUCAGGAGGAACACCUGCGGUGUAGACGGCUUUCUGGACCAUAACUGACGCUGAGAUACGAAAGCGUGGGUAGCAAACAGG